rnacentral:rRNA from 1 species
GUCUACUGCCAUGCCACCCUGAACGAGCCCGAUCCCGUCUGAUCUCGGAAGCUAAGCGGGGUUAGGCCUGGUGAGUACUUGGAUGAGAGACCACCUAGGAAGACUAGGAGCUGUAGGUU